AGGUCAAGCUGGGGACUCUAAUGAAACUGCCUACGCAAGUAGUGAGGAAGGUGGGGAUGACGUCAAAUCAGCACGGCCCUUACGUCCAGGGCUACACACGUGCUACAAUGGCCGGUACAAAGGGCAGCUACCUGGUGACAGGAUGCUAAUCUCAAAAGCCGGUCUCAGUUCGGAUCGGAGUCUGCAACCCGACUCCGUGAAGCUGGAAUCGCUAGUAAUCGUGGAUCAGCCAAGCCGCGGUGAAUACGUUCCCGGGCCUU
rnacentral:rRNA from 1 species